AUAGCUCGCUGUAUGCAGCACGUCUACUUCACACCUUCACAAAUGUUAACCAGGGCGUGACGUGUAGUCUGAUGAUGUGCAGCCACUCAGGUUGUUUGCUUUCUGACAGCAAGUCAGUGGGUGGAACAGAGAGAAGCACAAAACAAACUAAAGCUUACUACCUUACAGUUAACGUGCAGUCAACUACAGGAAGACACAGUUUUUUUGGCUCGACCUGCAAUAUUACUGACUAAAUCAAUGCAUUUACUUAAAAUGUAAUUGUAAAAAAAGAGCUAACCUCCAAGGAGUUCGGAGAGUCAGUGAAGACAUCAUACAGGUUUUUUCUACCCACAAGUCUGAAAACCAGAGACAGAGAAAGAGGAAGAGGAGGGUUUUACUCAGUGACCGUGAACUGAUGUCAGUGUUGGUCUGACAUCACUGAGCAGCAGGAUGGAGGAAACGUCUCUGCUGUGUCUGCUCUUUCUGAUCUCACUGCUGAGCUGCACCACAAACCAAGGUCAGUAACCUUCUUCUGUCACACUGUAAACCUGACUCACUCUCCCAGGAGACUGUGGGACACAUUUAUUAAGAACAUGCUGCAGCUCACUGCAGAC